UUUCUUCCUUAUUACACUAUAUAUCUUUUUAUGCUUGUAGUUUACCAUCUUGGUCAUUUUAUAUAUGCCGUUAUUUGUAAGCAUUUAUCUUGCUGUGGAKUGAGGGUUCGGGCUAGAAUUUUAUUUGGCGGCUUCUGACCUGUAACUUCUCCUAUUAUUUUUUUACUUUGAAAUGCUUUCAAACAAUUUGGCCUGUGAGCUAUAAAUUAAUCGCCUUUUUUCGUUCUGGGUCUGAUUACUAAGCCGGGAGGGAAAAUGAAGAAAGAAUCUCAGCAACUAUUAAACUCAUUUUUACUAAUGCUUCUGUUGGUACAGCCAGAGAGGAACUCAAACAUUUUCUCCCGAUCUAUUAUUUUAAGAUGGAAUUGAACUGCUAGGACAAUUUGAAUGAUUACGUUCAUCAUUCAAUGCUAAAAUUCAAUUGCAGAGCCUAAUUCUAGAAUGCUCUACUAUAAUAUUUUCCAAUAAAUGUUGUAUUUGAAAUUUUAGAUUUGAUUAAAAAUAAGGAGUAACCACCACCCACUUGUUAGAGUUUAAAUGUGAGGUGUGAGAAAGUGGUAAAAAUUGUGGAAUAAAACUGUUGUGCGGAUAAAUGGUGCAUAAGAUCUUGUGAGGUGCUUGCUUUAGCAGUAUUAUGCUGCAAAUUUAUUGUAUUUGAUAACUUGUUUCAUUGAAUCAGCAUGGUCAAGCUAAUGCUCAUUACGAGCGAAUGUUCGCUUCUCUCAUUUAAUGUGGAAUUAGGGUUUAAAAUAGAAUGAAAUAUUUUGAGCGAGUAGCAGGACACACAUCAAAAGUAAAAGUGCACACAUAUGGCACACAGUUUGUUAUUACUGGAUUCAACUAUUUGUUUUUGUGCAACUGGUGCUGAAAUUUGUAUAUUUUGUUAUGUAUAAAGGUACAGGUUAUUUGGGCGAGCGACCCAGUUUCACAACGGAGGGAAGGAG
rnacentral:misc_RNA from 1 species